rnacentral:tRNA from 1 species
UAAAAAUUAGUUAAAUAUAACAUUAAUUUGUCAAAUUAAAAUUAUAAUAUUAUAUUUUUAU